CCUACGGGAGGCAGCAGUGGGGAAUAUUGGACAAUGGGGGGAACCCUGAUCCAGCAAUGCCGCGUGUGUGAAGAAGGCCUGAGGGUUGUAAAGCAUUUUCAGUGGGGAGGAGGGUUGAUAGGUUAAGAGCUGAUUGACUGGACGUUACCCACAGAAGAAGCACCGGCUAACUCCGUGCCAGCAGCCGCGGUAAU
rnacentral:rRNA from 1 species